rnacentral:rRNA from 1 species
UGGGGAAUAUUGCACAAUGGGCGCAAGCCUGAUGCAGCGACGCCGCGUGGGGGAUGACGGCCUUCGGGUUGUAAACCCCUUUCGCCCGGGACGAAGCGUAAGUGACGGUACCGGGAGAAGAAGCACCGGCCAACUACGUGCCAGCAGCCGCGGUAAUACGUAGGGUGCAAGCGUUGUCCGGAAUUAUUGGGCGUAAAGAGCUCGUAGGCGGUGUGUCACGUCUGCCGUGAAAACCUGCGGCUUAACCGUGGGCGUGCGGUGGAUACGGGCAUCACUUGAGUUCGGUAGGGGAGACUGGAAUUCCUGGUGUAGCGGUGGAAUGCGCAGAUAUCAGGAGGAACACCGGUGGCGAAGGCGGGUCUCUGGGCCGAUACUGACGCUGAGGAGCGAAAGCGUGGGGAGCGAACAGGAUUAGAUACC